UGGGGAAUAUUGCACAAUGGGCGCAAGCCUGAUGCAGCAAUGCCGCGUGAGUGAAGACGGCCUUAGGGUUGUAAAACUCUUUCGCUAGGGAAGAUAAUGACGGUACCUAGUAAAGAAGUCCCGGCUAACUCCGUGCCAGCAGCCGCGGUAAUACGGAGGGGAACUAGCGUUGUUCGGAAUUACUGGGCGUAAAGCGCACGUAGGCGGAUCGGUCAGUCAGUGGUGAAAGCCCCGGGCUCAACCUGGGAAUUGCCUCUGAUACUGCCGAUCUAGAGUCCGGGAGAGGGUAGUGGAAUUCCCAGUGUAGAGGUGAAAUUCGUAGAUAUUGGGAAGAACACCAGUGGCGAAGGCGGCUACCUGGACCGGUACUGACGCUGAGGCGCGAAAGCGU
rnacentral:rRNA from 1 species